rnacentral:rRNA from 1 species
AUUGAACGCUGGCGGCAGGCCUAACACAUGCGAGUCGAGCGGAUGAAGGGAGCUUGCUCCUGGAUUCAGCGGCGGACGGGUGAGUAAUGCCUAGGAAUCUGCCUGGUAGUGGGGGGUAACGUCCGGAAACGGGCGCUAAUACCGCAUACGUCCUGAGGGAGAAAGUGGGGGAUCUUCGGACCUCACGCUAUCAGAUGAGCCUAGGUCGGAUUAGCUAGUUGGUGGGGUAAAGGCCUACCAAGGCGACGAUCCGUAACUGGUCUGAGAGGAUGAUCAGUCACACUGGAACUGAGACACGGUCCAGACUCCUACGGGAGGCAGCAGUGGGGAAUAUUGGACAAUGGGCGAAAGCCUGAUCCAGCCAUGCCGCGUGUGUGAAGAAGGUCUUCGGAUUGUAAAGCACUUUAAGUUGGGAGGAAGGGCAGUAAGUUAAUACCUUGCUGUUUUGACGUUACCAACAGAAUAAGCACCGGCUAACUUCGUG